rnacentral:tRNA from 2 species
GGAGAGGUGGCAGAGUUGGUCGAUUGCGUCUGACUUGAAAUCAGAUGAGCCCUUGCGGGUUCCGGAGGUUCGAAUCCUCUCCUCUCCG